rnacentral:rRNA from 1 species
UACGGAGGAUCCAAGCGUUAUCCGGAAUCAUUGGGUUUAAAGGGUCCGUAGGCGGGAUAAUAAGUCAGCGGUGAAAGUCUGUGGCUCAACCAUAGAAUUGCCAUUGAUACUGUUGUUCUUGAGUGUUUAUGAAGUGGUUAGAAUAUGUAGUGUAGCGGUGAAAUGCUUAGAUAUUACAUGGAAUACCGAUUGCGAAGGCAGAUCACUAAUAAAAUACUGACGCUGAUGGACGAAAGCGUAGGUAGCGAACAGG